UACGUAGGGGGCAAGCGUUGUCCGGAUUUACUGGGCGUAAAGAGCGUGUAGGCGGCCACGCAGGUCCGUUGUGAAAACUGGAGGCUCAACCUCCAGCUGUCGACGGAAACCGUAUGGCUAGAGUCCGGAAGAGGAGAGUGGAAUUCCUGGUGUAGCGGUGAAAUGCGCAGAUAUCAGGAAGAACACCAAUGGCGAAGGCAGCUCUCCGGGACGGUACUGACGCUGAGACGCGAAAGCGUGGGGAGCGAACAGG
rnacentral:rRNA from 1 species